rnacentral:rRNA from 1 species
UACGGAGGGGGCAAGCGUUGUUCGGCAUUACGGGGCGUAAAGGGCGCGUAGGCGGCCAGUUGCGUCGGGUGUGGAAGCCCCGGGCUCAACCUGGGAGGUGCACUUGAUACGGGCUGGCUGGAAUCCGGGAGAGGAUGGUGGAAUUCCCAGUGUAGAGGUGAAAUUCGUAGAUAUUGGGAAGAACACCGAUGGCGAAGGCAGCCAUCUGGACCGGGAUUGACGCUGAGGCGCGAAAGCGUGGGGAGCAAAUAGG